CUGAUAGCAAAAUUAUCGACACCAAUCAACCAGAGAUUACACAAAACCCAGGAAACCUAUGAACAUGCUUAGGAUGACCAUGGUUCAUGAGUAUCACACUUAAGACAUGGCGAUGAACAUCAUUACCUAGACCCAAUAGGUGCAGCCUGCAAGGAUUGUGGGUACAGCCGGAUGAAGGGCUUGGAGUGGCAGUUGGUCGUGGCCGGGUCAGAGGUCUGUUUGCUCGUUUGAAAAGUCAUAGCUAAAAUUAUUUGCUGACAGAAAAACACUGCUGAAAAAAAAAAACGAACAGAGCCGACGUCGCGGCGGACCGGGAGUCAAGGAUGAGGUGAUGCCUAGGCAAGGACAACGGCGGCAGCGGCCAGCGGGGGCUUCUGCUUCCCUUGGCACGAACGGCGGCGGUUGAGAACGACCUCGAAGGAGGGAGGAGGAUUGCGCAGUUGUUGGGAUGCAGAGCAGCCGUAGGCGAGGACACCUCCACACCGGCGACUGCCGAGCCGCCGAUGG
rnacentral:lncRNA from 1 species